UUCUUAGAAUUUUUGAAGUGGUUUGGAGGAGCAACAUAAAGUAUUGCCCUAUGUUAUAAAGUUUUAAGUAAUAUCGUUAUGAAUUGCUAAUAGGAAUCGUAAGUACGUGCAUGCAUCAUGAUAUAUCACUUGGUUAAGUUCCUUCCUCCUUGUUUCGGUUGGGUGAAUAGAAUCAAUCCUAUUCUUGCUAACCUUUAAGGUCUC
rnacentral:lncRNA from 1 species